rnacentral:misc_RNA from 1 species
GAAAUGCGAUAAGUAAUGUGAAUUGCAGAAUUCAGUGAAUCAUCGAAUCUUUGAACGCACCUUGCGCUCCUUGGUAUUCCUUGGAGCAUGCCUGUUUGAGUAUCAUGAAAUCUUCAAAGUAAAUCUUUUGUUAACUCAAUUGGUUUCUACUUUGGUAUUGGAGGUCUUUGCAGCUUCACACCUGCUCCUCUUUGUUCAUUAGCUGGAUCUCAGUGUUAUGCUUGGUUCCACUCGGCGUGAUAAGUUAUCUAUCGCUGAGGACACUGUAAAAGGUGGCCAAGGUAAAUGCAGAUGAACCGCUUCUAAUAGUCCAUUGACUUGGACAAUACUUUUAUGAUCUGAUCUCAAAUCAGGUAGGACUACCCGCAGAACUUAAGC